AACGAACGCUGGCGGCAUGCCUAACACAUGCAAGUCGAACGAGACCUUCGGGUCUAGUGGCGCAGGGGUGCGUAAGUGGUGGGAACCUGCCCUACGGUUCGGAAUAACUCCCCGAAAGGGGUGCUAAUACCGGAUAAUGUCUUCGGACCAAGGAUUUAUCGCCUUUGGCUGGGCCCGCGUUGGAUUAGCUAGUUGGUAGGGUAAAAGCCUACCAAGGCGACGAUCCAUGGCUGGUCUGAGAGGAUGAUCAGCCACACUGGGACUGAGACACGGCCCAGACUCCUACGGGAGGCAGCAGUGGGGAAUAUUGGACGAUGGGCGAAAGCCUGAUCCAGCAAUGCCGCGUGAGUGAUGAAGGCCUUAGGGUUGUAAAGCUCUUUUACCCGGGAUGAUAAUGACAGUACCGGGAGAAUGAGCUCCGGCUAACUCCGUG
rnacentral:rRNA from 1 species